rnacentral:sRNA from 1 species
UUCGAGCGAAAGCGAGAAAGCGUUGCCAACGGCAACGACCCGAAGGGCGAAGCGCGCAGCGCUGAGUAAUCCUUCCCCCACCACCA